GCGCACCAGGCGCGAAACCUCCGCAAUACACGAAAGUGUGACGGGGCCAUCCCGAGUGCCGUCCGCUGAGGACGGCUUUUCCCCAGUGUACACAGCUGGGGGAAUAAGGAGAGGGCAAGCCUGGCGUCAGCCGCCGCGGUAAUACCAGCUCUCCGAGUGGUGGGGACGCUUAUUGGGCCUAAAGCAUCCGUAGCCGGCUGGGCAAGUCCUCCGUUAAAUCCAACGAUUCAAUCGUUGGGCUGCGGGGGAUACUGUCCAGCUUGGGGGCGGGAGAGGCCGACGGUAUUCCCGGGGUAGGGGUGAAAUCCUAUAAUCCCGGGAGGACCACCAGUGGCGAAGGCUGUCGGCUAGAACGCGCCCGACGGUGAGGGAUGAAAGCUGGGGGAGCGAACCGGAUUAGAUA
rnacentral:rRNA from 1 species